AAGAACGCAUAGCGAAAGCUAAUUGUAUGAUAUACAAUAUCAAUUUAUUUGAAUAAAGUUCUGUUUAAUAUAAUGAUGAUGACAUAUAUUAAUCAUGUGUCUUGACCAAAUUACGUGCCAGCAGUCGCGGUAAUACGUAGUAGACUAGUGUUAUUCAUCUUUAAUAGGUUUAAAGGGUACCUAGACGGUAAAUAAAGCCUAUGGAACUAAUUUACUAGAGUUACUUACGAGGGAGCUAAAAAGUACUGGUGGUGUAGAGAUGAAAUUUUAUAAUACCUUUCUUCAUAAGAGCAGUGACGGCACAGAUUAAGGCGAAAGCAUCUCCCUAUGUGAUAGCUUCAUAAAACAAAAAGGAUUAGAUACCCUUGUAGUUGAAAGCAGAAAAUGAUGAGUGUCAUAGAUUAAUUUAUUCUAUAAAUGAUAGUGUAAGCACUCCACCUCAAGAGUAAUAUGGCAACAUUGGAACUGAAAUCAUUAGACCGUUUCUGAAACCAGUAGUGAAGUAUGUUGUUUAAUUUGAUAAUCCGCAAAAAACCUUACCAUGAAUAUUUACAAGCGCUGCACGGCUGUCUUCAGCUAAUGUCGUGAGACUUUGGUUAACUCCAUUUAAUUAGCGUAAACCCUUACUUUAUUUUUAUAUAAAGUAGUUCUCCAUUAUAUAGGAUAAGAUAACAGGGAUUAAGACAAGUCAUCAUGGCCAUAAGUGUAGUAAGCCUUUACAAAAGGAUGUGAAAUUGUGAAAUUGAGCUAAUC
rnacentral:rRNA from 1 species